ACAAGCGAAAAGCUUAAAACUCAACGGACUUGACGGUGUUCCACACCGACCUAGAGGAGCCUGUCCUAUAAUCGACACCCCACGCUAAACCUCACCCCACCUUGACAAUCCCGCCUAUAUACCGCCGUCGUCAGCCUGCCCAAUGAUAGACCCACAGCAGACAAAAAAGUGCCUCCCCCACUAAAACGUCAGGUCAAGGUGUAGCUAAUGGUGGGGGCAGAGAUGGGCUACAUUCUCUAAUACUAGAGAACCUACCACAAGCGACAUGAAAUAUUCGCCCAAAGGCGGAUUUAGCAGUAAAUCACGGUAAGACAACCCAUGUUGAAAACCCGCUCUGGAACGCGCACACACCGCCC
rnacentral:rRNA from 1 species